GACAGAGGCCCCGAGCGUUAGGCGGAAUCACUGGGCUUAAAGCGUGUGUAGGCGGAUCGUUAAGUGUCUUGUGAAAUCCCACGGCUCACCCGUGGAACUGCUGGGCAUACUGGCGAUCUUGGGCCGUUCAGGGGCGACUGGAACAAGCGGUGGAGCGGUGAAAUGCGUAGAUAUCGCUUGGAACGCCGAAGGUGAAAACAGCUCGCUGGGGGUUUGCUGACGCUGAGACACGAAAGCCAGGGGAGCAAACGGG
rnacentral:rRNA from 1 species